rnacentral:lncRNA from 1 species
UUGCAGGUGGAAGUUGGAGCCCUUCUUGUGUGGAAAUGCCUUGAUGUCUGAAGGGCCAAGGGCCGAGUCCUGCAGACAGGGCAUGAGGGAGGACUCCUGUCUGAGACCUUUGGGCAGCCUGCUCUCUGUUCUGGAGAUGGGCACCGAGCUGAUGGAAUGUCACACCUGCCAAAGUGUUAAACAUAAAAUAUUUUUAUAUGGCAUCUUUUAUCUCACUGCGUUCUGCAAAGCACUGAAGUGGCACUCUGAACUUCCAGAUGAUGGUUACCGUUACUGCUGGGAGAAGAAGCCAGUAAUGUUUUACCCCAUGGUAAGGAAUGGAGUUUGGCUCCCUACAAGAGUCCAGGGAAUCAGAUACUUGGGGAAUUCAAGCCCAAGUGGACCUUGCUGUUGGAGUGGUGCUCCUGCAGGAAAGAUGGUUUGA